AAGGUUAAAGAACAUGAAGAAGAGAUUGCACUUUUAAGAAGUCAGCUUGCUGACUAUUCAGUGAAGGCAUUUGAUUGGCAGCAACAAGAUUUGGUUGAUGCUGCAUCAAAAGCUUGAGCCUAUAGACAAGACAUCAUCGAAGAGAACAUCCGACUGACAUAUGCGUUGCAGUGCGUCCGGAACCACAAAAAACGCCCACCAUGAAGAGUUGGUUAGAUCACGAGGACCUGCAUUUCAAAUGAAUGUGAGUUACAUUCAGAACUCCGUUAUCAUGUAGCAUCCCAUGGGUGAUUUUGGGAAAAUGUAUCCUGGUUACUACACUGGUCACUCAGGCAUGCUCGCACCGGCAGCCCUCAGUGGCGAGACAAAGGAUGCAGCCAUGGGAAGAUGAAUGCACUGGACUUCUUGAGAUCGAAGCCACCAACGGCAUAUGCCAAGGGCGUCCAUGGACAACCUGCCCAAGGUCUGGAUUCACCGAGGAGGUACAACUGGACACUUGGUCGGCUGCCUGCUGAAAGGGGGAGGAGUGAAAAACAAACUGAGGCGGGCGGAGGUAA